rnacentral:rRNA from 1 species
UUGUUGGUCAAGCUACUAAGAGCACUCGGUGGAUGCCUUGGCGUCAGAAGGCGAUGAAGGACGUGGUUAAGCUGCGAUAAGCCCCGGGGAGUUGCACGCAAGCAUAGAUCCGGGGAUUUCCGAAUGGGGAAACCCGGCGCGGGUCAUACCGCGUCAUCGGCGGUUGAAUAUAUAGGCCGUCGAGGCAAACGAGGUGAACUGAACCAUCUCAGUACCCUCAGGAACAAAAAGCAAAAGCGAUUCCCUGAGUAGUGGUGAGCGAAAGGGGAACAGCCCAAACCGGCCUUAUGUAAGCCUGCAAGCGUUGUAGGGCCGGUGUAGUGGGGUUCAUUCGGACCCGGUUGCAGCCGGGUCGGAGAGUUACAAAUGUCUUGGUUAGUCGAAUAGUUUUGGAAAAUUCAACCACAGACGGUGAUAGUCCGGUAGACGAAAGCCAUAGACACUCUCUCGAAUGAAUUCCCGAGUACCGCGGGACACGUGAAAUCCCGUGGGAAACCGGGAGGACCACCUCCCAAGGCUAAAUACUCUCUGACGACCGAUAGUGAACCAGUACCGUGAGGGAAAGGUGAAAAGUACUCCUGGCGGAGGGUGAAAUAGAUCCUGAAACCGUUUGCUCACAAGCUGUAGGAGGAAAGGCCGCGACUCCACGUUACCGCCCUUCGGGGCGGCGACAGGCCGCGGCUGGACUGACUGCGUGCCUUUUGCAUAAUGAACCGGUGAGUUACUUGUAUGUAGCAAGGUUAAGUCCUUAAGGGACGGAGCCGUAGCGAAAGCGAGUCUGAACAGGGCGACAUAGUUGCAUGCAGUAGACCCGAAGCCGAGCGAUCUAGCCAUGGUCAGGGUGAAGCGUGUCUAACCGCACGUGGAGGCCCGAACCCACUAACGUUGAAAAGUUAGGGGAUGAACUGUGGAUAGGGGUGAAAGGCCAAUCAAGCUCGGAGAUAGCUGGUUCUCCCCGAAAUAGCUUUAGGGCUAGCCUCGCGGGAAGAGUGGUGGAGGUAGAGCACUGAAUGGGCUAGCGGGCCCACAAGCUUAGCAAACCCAAUCAAACUCCGAAUGCCAUACACUUGCUCCGCGGGAGUCAGGCUGUGGGGGAUAAGCUCCACAGGCGAAAGGAAAAGAAGCCAGACCGUCAGCUAAGGUCCCCAAGUGUAAACUAAGUGAUUAAGGUGGUGGAGUUACACAGACAACUGGGAUGUUGGCUUAGAAGCAGCCAUCAUUUAAAGAGUGCGUAACUGCUCACCAGUCAAGUGAUUCUGCGCCGACAAUUCAUCGGGGCUCAAGUUUACCACCGAAGCUGCGGGAUUGUCGGAUCCACCUGGGUCCGAUGAUCGGUAGGGGAGUAUUCUAUGUUAGGUUGAAGGUCGGCCGUGAGGCCGGCUGGACGAAAUAGAAGAGAUCAUGCCGGUACGAGUAGCGAUAAAAGGGGUGAGAAUCCCCUUCACCGAAAACCUAAGGUUUCCUGAGGAAGGAUCGUCCGCUCAGGGUAAGUCGGGUCCUAAGCCGAGGCCGAAAGGCGUAGGCGAUGGGAAACAGGUCAAGAUUCCUGUACCACUGAUGAGGCGCUCAAGACGCGAUGGGGGAACGCAGAAGUGAAAGGUCAGCCAGCGAUUGGAAGUGCUGGUCGAAGCCGGUAGGAGGCUUGCGCAGGCAAAUCCGCGCGGGCAUUACUCCGAGAGGUGAUCGGGAAACGAGCCUUCGGGCAAGCCAACUGACCCUAAUCAUGCUGCCAAGAAAAGCCUCUAAGCGAGUCUCAUAAGUGUCCGUACCGCAAACCGACACAGGUAGGUAGGUAGAGAAUACUAAGGUGCUCGAGUGAUUCCUCGUUAAGGAACUAGGCAAUCUAGCUUCGUAACUUUGGGAGAAGGAGUGCCCCUACGUAGGUGAUCCCCCUCGCGGGGUGAGCCGAACGGGGUCGCAGUGACCAGGCCCAAGCGACUGUUUACUAAAAACACAGGUCUCUGCCAAGUCGUAAGACGAUGUAUAGGGACUGACACCUGCCCGGUGCUGGAAGGUUAAAGGGCGGGGUUAGCCUUCGGGCGAAGCUCUAAACUGAAGCCCCAGUAAACGGCGGCCGUAACUAUAACGGUCCUAAGGUAGCGAAAUUCC